ACGAGUUAGGGUCUUCCAGGCCCGACCUCCCAACCCUAUGUUUAUUGAACCUCUGUUGCUUCGGCGGACCCGUCCUACGACCGCCGGAGGACCGCCGCGAGGCGUCCUCUGGCCAGCGUCCGCCGAUGGCCAACCACUUAACUCUGAAUGAAUCGUGUCAUUAUGUCUAAGUCUAUGAUUAAAUUAAAGCA
rnacentral:misc_RNA from 1 species